rnacentral:tRNA from 1 species
GGAUAGGUGUCUGAGUGGCUUAAAGUACUGGUCUUGAAAACCAGAGGCGGCGAAAGUCGUCCGCGGGUUCGAAUCCCGCUCUAUCCU